rnacentral:rRNA from 1 species
AGGACAAACGCUGGCGGGGUGCAUGAGACAUGCAAGUCGAACGAGGUGCCAUCGGGCUUGCUCGAUGGUUACCUAGUGGCGGACGGCUGAGUAACGCGUAGGUGACCUACCCGGAAGUGGGGAAUAACUGCCCGAAAGGGUGGCUAAUACCGCAUGUGGUCGGCGAUUCGAUUCGCCGUCCAAAGGAGAAAUUCGCUUCCGGCGGGGCCUGCGUCCGAUUAGCUAGUUGGUGGGGUAACGGCUCACCAAGGCGACGAUCGGUAGCUGGUCUGAGAGGAUGAUCAGCCAGACUGGGACUGAGAACGGCCCAGACUCCUACGGGAGGCAGCAGUCGGGAAUUUGCCCAAUGGACGAAAGUCUGAGGCAGCAACUCCGCGUGAGGGAUGAAGGCUCUCGGGUCGUAAACCUCUUUUCUCAGGGAAGAUCCAAGACGGUACCUGAGGAAUAAGCGACGGCUAACUACGUGCCAGCAGCCGC